ensembl:lncRNA
AUCACGCCCGCCCGGCGCGGGCUGCGCGGGCGGAGGCGCAGGGCACCCCGCGCGGGGAGCGGGCGCGCGGGGCCGGAGAGCCGGCGACCCCCUCGGAAGAGCGAGACCCAGGGAAGGCCCGCGUUCACCCGGGGGCCAGGCGACUCUGUGUGAGCCCCAAACAGACCCGCGUGGCUCGGAGGAAGCAUUUUGCUAUCAAUCAACAAAUAUUCGACUUUAUUCCACCUCUUUAUCCUAGUGUUUUUUAAGGAUGUGUUCAUUUGUUUUUAAAGAGCUGCGAGGGAGCUUAGAAAUGAUCUCCACAACUUGUACAUUUCACAGAUGAGGAAACUGAGAGCCGGAUGGGAAGUGUGGGGGGCCGGGCAUGCCCGAAGUCACAUUACCCGGUGGUGAUAGAAACUAGAGCCCUCAUCUCCGGACCCCGACUCUCAGCCCAUGCGAUGGCCGCACUGGCACUCUGCAGGAGCCAUGUCGAUAUGCAUGUUUGGGAUCAAAUAUAUGAAAUGGGCGAAGUCGUGCAUCUUGGAAGUUUUGGGUGUGCCUGUCAGUGCAUGAACUAUGCAGGGUCCUCACAAUUCCUGCUCCCAAGUCAGGCCACCGCGUCCCUAGGUCUGGGAAGAGAAUAGUUAAUGAGUCAAAAGUAUGGGGGUGGGAGACACCUACACAGACAAAUAAUACAGUUCCUUGAAUUCAUUAACUUACUCUCCUCCUCCCAUCUACUCCCCCCCCCCCCCCGCCACCUACAAGGAGUGUACAUGGUUUCUCUUCAUGCUUUCAUCUGUUCCAGAACUUUCUCCCGUUGCCUGUUUGCUGGACCAUUUCUCAGUGAUCUGAACAGUUCAAAUGUAAAGGCUUGUGUUCAUCCUUACAUCUCUCCAAAGUUUGCAGGGUGCCUGGCACAUAGUUCCCUGGGGAAUGGUGGUGUUGCUGAAAGUGACUUAGCGUUUCUGAGCUUCUGCUACCUGGCUCCAGGACUCUCCGGAUGAAAGAACAGAAUAACCCUCCCUCCCUCACAUGUCACCUUCCCUGCAGCCCAUUGUGAAACAUGAAUGCAGGCGUGGGCCACGUGUGAAACAGGCCCUAGUGCUGUGUCCAGGAUAGACUGCUGUAGCAUUUCCUGCUGACCUCCAGGAAGGAUGAGCAAUAGGGAGGACCAACCUUGGAAACUGGAUCCUUCUGAAAGAGAUGCAAGGCUUUCUUUUGUAUAUAAAUCACUCUUCUGAAGUAUUUUAGGUGGGAGUUGAACUUGUACCAGGGAUGUGGAGUCUCGCUAAGGACUGGGGAUAGGUGCAUGCACAAGAGUGGGUGGGGGGUGGGGAGAGAGAGAGUAUAAGGGCUGAAGAAUCUCAUCCUACCCCAGCAACACUCAAUUUUCCCCCUACUUUUUGAAAAAUCUGAUUUAUUUUUUUUAAAGAUUUUAUUUAUUUAUUCAUGAGAGACAGAGGGGGAGAGACAGAGAGAGAGAAGCAGAGGGAGAAGCAGGCUCCCAAGGAGCAGGGAGCCCGAUGCGGGACUCGAUCCCAGGACCCUGGGAUCAUGACCUGAGCCGAAGGCAGACGCUUAACCAUCUGAGCCACCCAGGCGCCCUGAAAAAUCUGAUUUAUUGAGAUGAAAUUUACUUACAGUAAAUUCAUCCUUUUUAGUGUACAGUCCUUUGAGUUUUGACAAGCACACAAAUGGUGUAACUACCACCACAAUCAAAAUAUAGAAUAGUUCCAGCACUCCCCAAAAUUUCCUCCUUUCCCUUUGUAGUCACCUCCCCCCCCACCCACCCCCAUCCCUGGCAACAACCUCUGAUCUGUUUUCUCUCCUUAUGGUUUUACCUUUGUGGCAGUGUCAUAUAAAAG